rnacentral:rRNA from 1 species
CGCAAUGGGCGAAAGCCUGACGGAGCGACGCCGCGUGCAGGAUGAAGUCCUUCGGUAUGUAAACUUCUUUUGCCAGGGAAAAAGUUAUUGAUGGUACCUCGAGAAUAAGAGGUUGCUAAACUCGUGCCAGCAGCAGCGGUAAUACGAGUGCCUCGAGCGUUAUCCGGAAUUAUUGGGCGUAAAGGGUGCGUAGGCGGCGAUGUUAGUCCCAUGUAAAAUUCCCCGGCUCAACCCGGGGCUCGCACGGGAAACGGCAUCGCUAGAGGACGGGAGAGGUCUGUGGAACUCAUGGUGUAGGGGUGAAAUCCGUUGAUAUCAUGGGGAACACCAAAAGCGAAGGCAGCAGACUGGCCCGUUCCUGACGCUGAGGCACGAAAGCGU